CUCUUUUCAGAAUUGAGUGGCAAACGGGUGAGUAACACGUAAACAACCUGCCUUCAGGAUGGGGACAACAGACGGAAACGACUGCUAAUACCGAAUAAGUUCCAAGGGCCACAUGGCCCAUGGAAGAAAAGGUGGCCUCUACCUGUAAGCUAUCGCCUGAAGAUGGGCUCGCGUCUGAUUAGAUAGUUGGUGAGGUAACGGCCCACCAAGUCGACGAUCAGUAGCCGGACUGAGAGGUUGAACGGCCACAUUGGAACUGAGACACGGUCCAAACUCC
rnacentral:rRNA from 1 species